rnacentral:rRNA from 1 species
AGUGAACGCUGGCGGCAGGCCUAACACAUGCAAGUCGAACGGCAACACAAUAAGAGCUUCCUCUUUCCGGUGGCGAGUGGGGGGCGGGUGAAGUAUCCAGCAAAAUCUACUUUUUCGGGGGGGAUCACGUAGAGACACUAACGCUAAUACCACAUCGGACCUACGGGAGAAAGCAGGGGCUCUUGGCCCCUUGCGCGCUUGUAUGCGCCGAUGUCGGAUUAGCUAGUAGGGGGGGUAAAGGCCCACCGAGGCGACGAUCCGUAGCUGGUCUGAGAGGAUGAUCAGCCACACUGGAACUGAGACACGGUCCAGACUCCUACGGGAGGCAGCAGUGGGGAAUAUUGGACAAUGGGCGCAAGCCUGAUCCAGCCAUGCCGCGUGUGUGAAGAAGGCCUUCGGGUUGUAAAGCCCUUUUGUCGGGAAAGAAAAGCAGAAGGUUAAUACCUCGACUUAUUGACGGUACCCAAAGAAUAAGCACCGGCUAACUUCGUG